rnacentral:rRNA from 1 species
GGUUGAUCCUGCCAGUAGUCAUAUGCUUGUCUCAAAGAUUAAGCCAGACCGGAGGUCAGAGAGCUUCGCUCGAUGCAUGUCUAAGUAUAAACAUCUUUAUACUGUGAAACUGCGUACAGCUCAUUAAAUCAGUAAUAAUUUAUUUGAUGGUACUUCACUACACGGAUAACUGUGGUAAUUCUAGAGCUAAUACGUGCGUAAGGUCCCGACUCCCGUCUCGGCGGGGGAAGGGAUGUACUUAUUAGAUAAAAAACCAAUGCGUCCCUCGGGGCGG